rnacentral:rRNA from 1 species
AUAGCGUAUAUUUAAGUUGUUGCAGUUAAAAAGCUCGUAGUUGGAUUUCGGUUAAGAGCGACCGGUCCGCCGUUUGGUGUGCACUGGUUGGUUUUAACUUCCUGUAGAGGACGUGCUCUGGGCUUAACGGUCUGGACUCGGAGUCUACGUGGUUACUUUGAAAAAAUUAGAGUGUUCAAAGCGGGCUUACGCUUGAAUAUUUCAGCAUGGAAUAACACUAUAGGACUCCUGUCCUAUUUCGUUGGUCUCGGGACGGGAGUAAUGAUUAAGAGGAACAGUUGGGGGCAUUCGUAUUUCAUUGUCAGAGGUGAAAUUCUUGGAUUUAUGAAAGACGAACUUCUGCGAAAGCAUUUGCCAAGGAUGUUUUCAUUAAUCAAGAACGAAAGUUGGGGGCUCGAAGAUGAUUAGAUACCAUCCUAGUCUCAACCAUAAACGAUGCCGACUAGGGAUUGACGGAUGUUAAUUGAUGACUCCGCCAGCACCUUAUGAGAAAUCAAAGUUUUUGGGUUCCGGGGGGAGUAUGGUCGCAAGGCUGAAACUUAAAGGAAUU